rnacentral:lncRNA from 1 species
AUGAACUGUGCUCUUGAAGCAUCCUUUUCGGAGACGGCUGCAGGAGCUGGCACAUGGUCCAAUGCUCUGGGAGCAGGAUUUUGGGAUCUUGCUGUGCUGAAGGUGACUGCAGGACGGGACUGCCAAGCAUCCUCUGAUGCCGAUUCUUGCUCCAGUUACUGGUGCAAGCUGCUCACACAGGUCCACUGCCUGUGCUGCUGGAUGGACACCUUGGGACUCCAGACAAAGACUCUUCCUCAUUUAUUUCCAAAACUACAGCGUUGGUGCUCAGGAGCUGAAAGGCAUCCCAGGUACAAAGACGAGAAAAUACACGUCUAUUUUGAAAUAUACCACGUCACAGAUGUAGCCAGAGAAGAAUGAUGUGAAGGUGGAGAGGAUGCUGAAAGGAAAGGCUGAGAUAUCAACCCAGCAAUGCUGGGAUCUUCCCACUGCUUGGAAAAUGGGGUCAGUAUAGAAGAGCUCCCAUUACCUAUGGAGAAAUGAGGCACAGAACAAGGUUUCAGCCUUCCCAACAUCUCUGGGCAUCUGGAGCAGCAUUAAGAGUACAGUAAAGGGAUCUCUACUCCAGAGUGAUGUCCCAAACCUUGUUUUCCCCACCCAUUAGAAGCUGUGAUCACAGCCUCUGAAAAUUCCCUGUGGCCAGCCUAGGAAUUAUCAACCUUUUCCAGAGCCCUAUUACCAAAUGGCUUUAAAAAUGCAGCUAUCUUUUAAUUUUGCAUUUGCUAUAAAAUGUAUAAAUCAUACAGCUGCAAUUUUUUUGGCUUUGUAGCAUAAUUAAUUCCAUAGAUGUUUAAAAUCCAUGCUUGUGCCAAUCAUUGAUUGUCAAAAAAGAAAGAAAAGCAGGCUAGUUUGGAUAUCUAAAUAGUUCUCCCUCAUAAAAAAAAAGAGCCCUUAAAAACAGCCUUCAAGACCUACCUGAUUUAAUUAUCUAGUAAAUUUUCCUUUUUUUCCAGAUAAAAUUAGCAAUGAGCCUAUCGAUUUUUUGUGUAGCUGGAAAUGCAUAGGUAGAGCUAAAAUAAGGGUAAAUAAAACAUGAUGGACUCUCA